rnacentral:piRNA from 1 species
UUGGAUGUGUGGAAGUCAGAAGACUGC